UACGGAGGAUCCAAGCGUUAUCCGGAUUUAUUGGGUUUAAAGGGUGCGUAGGCGGCCUACUAAGUCAGGGGUGAAAGACGGUGGCUCAACCAUCGCAGUGCCUUUGAUACUGAUGGGCUUGAAUGCAGCUGAGGUAGGCGGAAUGUGACAAGUAGCGGUGAAAUGCAUAGAUAUGUCACAGAACACCGAUUGCGAAGGCAGCUUACUAAAGUGCAAUUGACGCUGAGGCACGAAAGCGUGGGGAUCAAACAGG
rnacentral:rRNA from 1 species